rnacentral:rRNA from 1 species
GACGAACGCUGGCGGCGUGCUUAACACAUGCAAGUCGAACGGAAAGGCCCUGCUUUUGUGGGGUGCUCGAGUGGCGAACGGGUGAGUAACACGUGAGUAACCUGCCCUUGACUUUGGGAUAACUUCAGGAAACUGGGGCUAAUACCGGAUAGGAGCUCCUGCUGCAUGGUGGGGGUUGGAAAGUUUCGGCGGUUGGGGAUGGACUCGCGGCUUAUCAGCUUGUUGGUGGGGUAGUGGCUUACCAAGGCUUUGGCGGGUAGCCGGCCAGAGAGGGUGACCGGCCACAUUGGGACUGUGAUACGGCCCUGACUCCUACGGGCGGCAGCAGUGGGGAAUAUUGCACAAUGGGCGGAAGCCUGAGGCAGCAACGCCGCGUGCGGGAUGACGGCCUUCGGGUUGUAAACCGCUUUCGCCUGUGACGAAGCGUGAGUGACGGUAAUGGGUAACGAAGCACCGGCUAACUACGUG